rnacentral:rRNA from 1 species
GACGUAGGGUGCGAGCGUUGUCCGGAUUUAUUGGGCGUAAAGAGCUCGUAGGCGGCUCGUCGCGUCGGCUGUGAAAACCCGCGGCUUAACUGUGGGCUUGCAGCUGAUACGGGCGGGCUAGAGUUCGGUAGGGGAGACUGGAAUUCCUGGUGUAGCGGUGAAAUGCGCAGAUAUCAGGAGGAACACCGGUGGCGAAGGCGGGUCUCUGGGCAGUAACUGACGCUGAGGAGCGAAAGCGUGGGGAGCGAACAGG